ACUUCCAAAAUGUUUGGAAACCAAGGCACGGCUUCCGAUUGGCUGCUGGAAGCCGAUUGGCUGCUGGAAGCUCCUGCAGCCAAUCGGAAGCCGUGCCUUGGUUUCCAAACAUUUUGGAAGUCUAAC